AUUACCUCAAUAAAUACAGUUUUUACAAAAAUUGCUAUGCCUAAUAAGUUCCUUCGUAUUGUGUAUUGUUAAGUACUGCAUUUUGCUGUUUUCAUGUAAAUUAGAUCUUUAUCCUCAUUUUAGAGAUGAGUUUAAUUAUAGUUAAGUAUGAAUUUAUAACUAAAACCAGUUUUUUACUCCACUGCCUUUUCUCCAACACUCAUUGUCCACUUGCACUGAUGGUUUUCCACACAGUGACUUAAGUAGUGUGAUUACAAGACUCUAGUAUACAAAGGAAAACAAAGACACUGGGAGCGGGGGCUUACAGCAAUGGCAUAGCCUGUCAGCAGGAUCAAGAGGACCAGCAAGAAGCCCACCACCUCGUCCCAGGAUCGGCUCAGUGUUCUGCCAAUAACCUGCAGCCUGGGAUUAUGAUGUAGCAGGUUCCACAGCUGAAGUGUUGCCAGUAGAACCAAGAAUCCCACAAGUUUCAGGCUAUAAAGUGCUGUAAAAAAUGCUGCGGCCAGGCUGGUGACACCCAGAACAAGCCAGCAGAUGUAAGUCAGACAUCUGGGCAGGCUGCGAGAGAUAUACUGUCUCAAAAGUCACUAGAGGGAUCAAAGCUAGCAGUUCUAUAAUGAGAGUCUGAAGAAGAACAUGUUGAAGGCUGUCUCAUCUGGAGAGGAUUCCACCUGCUGAUGACAACCUGGACCUUCUAAGUGAGAAUGAACAAGGCUGGAUAAAAGUUUCACGAGCUUGUUAAUGUCGCAAGAACUCCAUGAAGAUCGCUCACUCUCUGAGAGUCUGUAUGUCUUUCUCCUGAGCAGGAAUCCAAUGGUUUCCUUUAGUUCCUGAAUACAGCACCAUGUUGAGAAACAUUAGUCUGUUUUACAUCACUCAGGACUAGUAGCAAUUGUAGAUGGUGAUGAGGCUGAUUCUCAACCCAAAGGGGCAUAUGCAUAGGGGCAUCAGCAGCAUGUCAUUGACCUAAAACCUGAUGCCAAGCUUACCUCAACUAUCUGUGUGUGAGAGAGAGGCUCAAAAGAAGCAUCUGAGAGACAGGAGGCCUGGAUGGGGGGAAACUGAGGCAGAGGUUCCUGCAGUUGAAUCAUCUGGAAGAGCCGCCCAAUCGCCAGAUUGAUUGGGAAAAGGAUGACAGCAGUUUGGAUGCUGAUAAACAGUUCAGACCAAGUCACAGCAAAUGGACCCACUGAAAAAAAAAACAUUGCAUCCACCUUCAUCCUCAAUACUUAAAAUCAUCCCAGUUAUUUCUCUUCCAGGUAUAAGUAUUUAUUUAGCAACUGAAGCAUCUAAGGAUGGAAAAUUAUUAUGCAGUGAAGGAAGAUCUUAAUGUGCUCCAAAGGCUGCUUUGUUUAUUAAUGAAUGAGAGCAGUGGGGAAAGUUGUUAAGAAUACUCUAAUAUUAGAGCUGCAAAGGAAAAUGAAGGCAUGACUCUUCCUAAUCCUGAAAGCAAGGGCAGUGGAAUAUAUUAAAAAUAAACAUGUCACAAACAGCUUGUCCAUACCUUGCUCAUCUCUUUUGGUGGUGGAGUCGUUUAUUUUCCAGAACAUAAUAUUGAUGACCAUGUUGCAAAGCAGUAGGGUCAGGCAGCAAGUGAGCCGCUGGACUCUUGUAAACUGGUUCCAAGGAUGUCGAGUAGCAACUGAGAGCCACAGAUAAUCCUGGGUGAACUUUUCUACGAUCAUGGA